UUAAGUGAAUAAGGGCGCACGGAGGAUGCCUUGGCACUAGGAGUCGAAGAAGGACGCGACAAACGGCGAAACGCCUCGGGGAGCUGUAAGUGAGCAUUGAUCCGGGGGUAUCCGAAUGGGGAAACCCGCUAGUGGUUAUACGCUAGCACCAUAUGGUGAAUACAUAGCCAUAUAGGAGACAGACCCAGGGAACUGAAACAUCUAAGUACCUGGAGGAAAAGAAAGAAAAAUCGAUUCCCGUAGUAGCGGCGAGCGAAGUGGGAAGAGCCCAAACCGGAUUUAUCCGGGGUUGUAGGACCUUCAUAAUUGACAAAUCAUGAUAGCCGAAUGGUCUGGGAAGGCCAACCGUAGGGGGUGAGAGUCCCGUAGGUGAAAUUGUGAGAUGCAUGGAAGGAAUCCUGAGUACGGCGGGACACGUGGAAUCCCGUCGGAAUCCGCCAGGACCAUCUGGCAAGGCUAAAUACUACCUAGUGACCGAUAGUGAACCAGUACCGUGAGGGAAAGGUGAAAAGAACCCCGGAAGGGGAGUGAAAGAGAACCUGAAACCGUGUGCCUACAAAUAGUCAGAGCCCGUUAAUGGGUGAUGGCGUGCCUUUUGUAGAAUGAACCGGCGAGUUACGAUAUCGUGCGAGGUUAAGCAGAAGAUGCGGAGCCGUAGCGAAAGCGAGUCUGAAUAGGGCGAAGAGUACGAUGUUGUAGACCCGAAACCGUGUGACCUAGCCAUGAGCAGGCUGAAGGUCAGGUAACACUGACUGGAGGGCCGAACCAGGGCACGUUGAAAAGUGCUUGGAUGACUUGUGGCUAGGGGUGAAAUUCCAAUCGAACACGGAUAUAGCUGGUUCUCUCCGAAAUAGCUUUAGGGCUAGCCUCGAUGUUAAGUCUACUGGAGGUAGAGCACUGAAUGGGUGAUGGCCCCACCUCGGGGUACUGAUCUCAAUCAAACUCCGAAUGCCAGAUAGAUAUAAUCGGGAGUCAGACUGUGGGUGAUAAGGUCCAUGGUCAAAAGGGAAAGAGCCCAGACCGCCAGCUAAGGCCCCCAAGUGUCCGUUAAGUGGAAAAGGAUGUGGAGAUGCACAGACAACUAGGAGGUUGGCUUAGAAGCAGCCAUCCUUUAAAGAGUGCGUAAUAGCUCACUAGUCGAGUGACUCUGCGCCGAAAAUGUACCGGGGCUAAACGGACCGCCGAAGCUGCGGAUUGACUUUAGAGUCAGUGGUAGGAGAGCGUUCUAACAGCGGUGAAGCAGUACCGGAAGGAGCUGUGGAGCGGUUAGAAGUGAGAAUGCCGGUGUGAGUAGCGAAAGAUAGGUGAGAAUCCUAUCCAUCGAAAGCCUAAGGUUUCCAGGGGAAGGCUCGUCCGCCCUGGGUAAGUCGGGACCUAAGGUGAGGCCGAAAGGCGUAGCCGAUGGACAACAGGUUGAUAUUCCUGUACCACUUAUUAAACUGAUGGAGUGACGGAGAAGGCUAAGUUGAGCGUGUGAUUGGAUUCACGUGUAAGCAGUGAGGUGGUCAUGUAGGCAAAUCCGCAUGGCAUAACAUUGAGCUGUGAUGCCGAAGCCGAAUGGCGAAGUCAACUGACGUCACGCUUCCAAGAAAAGCUUCUAGGGUUAAUUUAAUAAGUGCCCGUACCGAUAACCGACACAGGUAGGCGAGGAGAGAAUCCUAAGAUGAGCGAGAGAACUCUUGUUAAGGAACUCGGCAAAAUGACCCCGUAACUUCGGGAGAAGGGGUGCUUGUGAAAGCAAGCCGCAGUGAAUAGGCCCAGGCGACUGUUUAUCAAAAACACAGGUCUCUGCUAAACCGCAAGGUGAUGUAUAGGGGCUGACGCCUGCCCGGUGCUGGAAGGUUAAGAGGAGAGGUUAGCGCAAGCGAAGCUUUGAAUUGAAGCCCCAGUAAACGGCGGCCGUAACUAUAACGGUCCUAAGGUAGCGAAAUUCCUUGUCGGG
rnacentral:rRNA from 1 species